GAGCGUGAUGAUGUUGUAAUGUCGCCCCAGUCUUACGACCCGUUCAUCUUGGGACUGGCGAUGGUGAUUGACUAUUCUAUCUGAUUC